GGAGGAUCAUUACCUAGAGUUGUAGGCUUUGCCUGCUAUCUCUUACCCAUGUCUUUUGAGUACCUUCGUUUCCUCGGCGGGUCCGCCCGCCGAUUGGACAAUUUAAACCAUUUGCAGUUGCAAUCAGCGUCUGAAAAAACUUAAUAGUUACAACUUUCAACAACGGAUCUCUUGGUUCUGGCAUCGAUGAAGAACGCAGCGAAAUGCGAUAAGUAGUGUGAAUUGCAGAAUUCAGUGAAUCAUCGAAUCUUUGAACGCACAUUGCGCCCCUUGGUAUUCCAUGGGGCAUGCCUGUUCGAGCGUCAUUUGUACCUUCAAGCUCUGCUUGGUGUUGGGUGUUUGUCUCGCCUCUGCGCGUAGACUCGCCUCAAAACAAUUGGCAGCCGGCGUAUUGAUUUCGGAGCGCAGUACAUCUCGCGCUUUGCACUCAUAACGACGACGUCCAAAAGUACAUUUUUACACUCUUGACCUCGGAUCAGGUAGGGAUACCCGCUGAACUUAAGCAUAUCAAUAAGCGGAGGAAAAGAAACCAACAGGGAUUGCCCUAGUAACGGCGAGUGAAGCGGCAACAGCUCAAAUUUGAAAUCUGGCGUCUUCGGCGUCCGAGUUGUAAUUUGCAGAGGGCGCUUUGGCAUUGGCAGCGGUCCAAGUUCCUUGGAACAGGACGUCACAGAGGGUGAGAAUCCCGUACGUGGUCGCUAGCCUUUACCGUGUAAAGCCCCUUCGACGAGUCGAGUUGUUUGGGAAUGCAGCUCUAAAUGGGAGGUAAAUUUCUUCUAAAGCUAAAUACUGGCCAGAGACCGAUAGCGCACAAGUAGAGUGAUCGAAAGAUGAAAAGCACUUUGGAAAGAGAGUUAAAAAGCACGUGAAAUUGUU
rnacentral:rRNA from 1 species